UACGGAGGGAGCUAGCGUUGUUCGGAAUUACUGGGCGUAAAGCGCGCGUAGGCGGCUUUGUAAGUUAGAGGUGAAAGCCCGGAGCUCAACUCCGGAACUGCCUUUAAGACUGCAUCGCUUGAAUCCAGGAGAGGUGAGUGGAAUUCCGAGUGUAGAGGUGAAAUUCGUAGAUAUUCGGAAGAACACCAGUGGCGAAGGCGGCUCACUGGACUGGUAUUGACACUGAGGUGCGAAAGCGUGGGGAGCAAACAGG
rnacentral:rRNA from 1 species